AGAGAAUAGAUACCCCGGUAGUCCACGCCGUAAACGAUGGGCACUAGGUGCGUGGGGGGAGCGACCCCUUCAGUGCCGCAGCUAAACGCGUUAAGUGCCCCGCCUGGGGAGUACGGCCGCAAGGCUGAAACUCAAAGGAAUUGACGGGGCCCGCACAAGCGGUGGAGCAUGUGGUUUAAAUUCGAAGCAACGCGAAGAACCUUACCUAGGUUUGACAUGCAUCUGAAAUCUUCUGGAAACAGGGGUACCUUCUUCGGAACAGAUGCACAGGUGCUGCAUGGCUGUCGUCAGCUCGUGUCGUGAGAUGUU
rnacentral:rRNA from 1 species